UACGUAGGGUGCAAGCGUUAAUCGGAAUUACUGGGCGUAAAGCGUGCGCAGGCGGUGAUGUAAGACAGAUGUGAAAUCCCCGGGCUUAACCUGGGAACUGCAUUUGUGACUGCAUGGCUGGAGUGCGGCAGAGGGGGAUGGAAUUCCGCGUGUAGCAGUGAAAUGCGUAGAUAUGCGGAGGAACACCGAUGGCGAAGGCAAUCCCCUGGGCCUGCACUGACGCUCAUGCCACGAAAGCGUGGGGAGCAAACAGGAUUGAGA
rnacentral:rRNA from 1 species